rnacentral:rRNA from 1 species
AAAUUGAAGAGUUUGAUCAUGGCUCAGAUUGAACGCUGGCGGCAGGCCUAACACAUGCAAGUCGAACGGUAACAGAAAGCAGCUUGCUGCUUUGCUGACGAGUGGCGGACGGGUGAGUAAUGUCUGGGAAACUGCCUGAUGGAGGGGGAUAACUACUGGAAACGGUAGCUAAUACCGCAUAACGUCGCA